UUUUCUUUCUCUUCUUCUGCCCUCUCCUACUUCAUAUCUCUUCCAUAAAUAUCGAACCCAUCAUCUUCAACAUCUUCAUUGCAUAUAUUUUACAUCUCAAUAUUCUUUCAACUUAGUGGUUAUUAUUUAUGCUAGAAUCGUAACAUUCUCUAUGUAUUUUGUAGGAAAAAUCCCAAGUGGAUGGUAACACUAAGCGUAAAUGGGAGAUGGAAACCAAGUUAUCGAAUGAUGGGAGACAAUAAAACUCAACAAAGAAUAAGAAGUAGUGGGAUGAUGAAAAACAAUGAAAGAUAUGAUAAAAAGGCUAUUGGCAAGGAUAGAGAAAACAAGAUAGAAAAAAGGGCAAAAGAGUCUAACCAUGAAGAGAAAGGACUAUUGGCACCACAGCGCCAAAAUUGUAGCACCUACGAGCUACCAUGACAGAGGUGUGGCACUGCGGCACUAUUCUUGUGGCACUGAGGCCACCAAAAAUCGAUGGAGAUAGAGUUGUAGAGCCACGGCGUCUGGCUCAUUUUGAAGCCCAUAAGAAUCCUACAUUCGACACAAAUGUGAGGAGUAUAAAUGUAAGUUUUGACACUUUUGAUGGGAUUCCACACAUUGAGAGAUAGAGAUUAAAGAACGCAAUGCAAGAGAGGAAAAUAUCAAGAAAUUCACGUUUUGAAGCAUUGAUUGGAAGAGGACGAAGAUUUUGGUGCAAGAUUAAUCUCUUUUUCUACAUUUAUAUUUAAAAUUCAGUGAUGUAUUCAAUAAGAACCCCUUGU